GAUAACCGUUCUUUGUCUCUUCAAUCACCGUUUUUCCGCUAAAAUUUCACAAGACAAUGGAUUCUUCACUGAACUCUUGGCCUCCUAUAUUUUUCGAUGUAUUUCACUUAAUUCUUUGCAAAACAACAAUUAUUUCAAAGGGAGAGUUAAGAGAAAACGUUAAGGGCAGAGCCCUGAUCCUUCUUCUUCGUCUUCGUGAAGAAGUUUCUGAAGCCUCAGAAAAAGGAAACAAAUUUAUAUUAAAUCAACCAGAUUAAUCAUCAGAAGGAUCAUUGAUUAGUCUCUGAAAAAAAAAAUUGAGCUUCCAGUUCUACCAGAGUUAAUACAUUCGAUCGAUGGGGUGAGAUUCUCCUUCCAAUCUCUGUGUUUGGCCUUGUGCAUAUUCUAUUGGUGGUAUUUGAUUGAUUCUGAUUUAGAGAUUCUUUACAUGAUAGGUUGAUUUUAGUAAAGAUUGUUUUGGCUUUAUUCAGACAGAAAGUUUUGAACUGAAAAGAAAACAAUGGCUGCGUGGGGUUUGUGUGUGGUAGGGAAAACAAAGAAGUUUGUGUGGGGUUUUGUAACAGAGCAGUGGCUGCGUGGCUUGCUACAGAGAAACAUAAACUCUAAAGGAUCCUCCACCUUUUGAUUCCAUAGCUCAAAAGAAACAUCUGAGUGGCGUCUCUGAAGAUUUCUGGUCAACAAGCACUGUUGAUAUGGACAACAUCACCUUCCCUUCUCAGGGAGGGAUCAUAUCAUCAUCCAACCAGACUUUUGAUUCUCAAUCUGGUGCUAGAAACUUAAAUGCCCCUCCUGAGUUUGUAAACGAAGGUCUUCAUCUUUGGAAAGAAAGGAAAGAGCGUCUUCAUCUUUGGAAAGAAAGGAAAGAGCCUGUAAUCUACCGGAACGCAAGCAAGGAGCCAAGAUAAAAUUGGAACACAACAUCAUAUGAUAGCUUGCUGGGAGCAACACGUUAUUUUCCCAACCCAUUCCUCUCAGUUGUUUCUUGCUUCAAGAAACCCAGCAACGCUAGAUGCCUCGAUGUUUGACUCCACGGGAGGAAUGGUUAAUCGUAAAAGAAAGUGAAAGUAAGUCUUAAAAACAUUACCUUUGUUUUAUGUGUGUUCUCAUGAUGUAUUUGAAUAGAAUCUGAUGUUUUUUUUUUUGAUGAUAUUUCUGCUUCUGAGAAAUCGAUAGAGAAGAAGGAAAUAGCAAAGCAGGAAGCAGUCAUGAAAGAGCCUGGACAUAUAUCUUGCUGAUAAUGAUACGAACCAGUUUCAUGUCAGUGCCUCACCUUCUCUUUUUAUGGAAAGAUUAUGUAUAUAUAUAUAUAUAUAUAUAUAUAUAUAUAUAUAUAUAUAUAUAUUUAAUAAUGAAAAAACACCAAUCUUCUUUUCAAACAACUCCUAACACUUCUCCAACCUUUACAUCUCUACUCUUACUCUACACACCACCACCAUCAACCAUUUGUAAUCCCACAACUUCGGUUUUGCUAAUGUCUCCGCGCUUGCGCGGGGCUCCGCUCUAGUAUUUUAAAGAGUUAGCGAUAUGUUGAAACAAACAUACGGUGGGAAAAUUGUAAUAUUUUGGGUCCAGGUUUGGGCUUCGGCUUCCUAGACAUCUUCCUAGACUUUGUGAAGAAAAACAACCACAUCUAUCUUAUUAAAACAGAAACACUCUAUUGGACUUAAUAUUUAUUUUGUAAGUUUUUAAAUUAAAUACACCUUUAUACUUUAUAGUUAAAUCUACAUUAAAUCAUUAAUGUUCAUUUCUUUAUACUACUAUCCAUGUUUCCAAACAAUAUACUUAUUUCUUUAUACUACUAUCAAUGUUUCCAAACAAUAUAUUUUU